GUCCUUCAUCCCAGACGACCUCCACACCCUCCGCGCCUUGGCUUGGGGUCCCCGGCUUCCCGCCUCCGCCCCCCGCCAAGCUCAGCGCCAUCUCUUUUCUCCCCACUGCACUAGAAAAGAAGUCUCAACCUCUUCGGUUCCCGCGAAGGGCCGUGACCCGCACGCCGGGCCCCUGGCCCUCCUCGCUUUCCUCGGCGAGGUUGGAGCUGCCGCGCCCCCUGUCCCAGCCUAAUUCUUGCCAUCUCGGUCCCCGGCAACCAUUUUCUCUCCCCUCUCGUUUUUUCCCCUAAGAACAAGAGUUCUUUCCCCCUGACCACCUUGGUGGCGUCUUCUGCCGGUUUUGCUUCUCGUAAAUCGGUGGGUCUCAGUGGCUUCCGGGGCUGCCUCCUCAUCCCUACCUCUUCAUCCUUUUGAUGAACGUGCCACACGUUAGGGUAUAGAGCCUGGUUUGGUGGCUAAGGGUCUUCAAGAAUGUAACUGAGGACAUGCCCCAGGGGGAGACGGAAAACCUAACAGCUACCCUGCUGACUUGGACCACUUUCUUCAUAAGUUACGUGCCAAAGAAAUAAACUCUAUAUUCUCUAA